UACGAGGGGGGCGAGCGUUGUUCGGAAUUAUUGGGCGUAAAGGGCGCGUAGGCGGUGCGACGUGUCUCCUGUGAAAUCUCCAGGCUCAACUUGGAGUCUGCAGGAGAAACUGUCGUGCUUGAGUACUGGAGAGGUGAGUGGAAUUCCCGGUGUAGCGGUGAAAUGCGUAGAUAUCGGGAAGAACACCAAUGGCGAAGGCAGCUCUCUGGGACGGUACUGACACUGAGACGCGAAAGCGUGGGGAGCGAACAGG
rnacentral:rRNA from 1 species